rnacentral:tRNA from 1 species
GAGAGUGUAGCUCAGUUGGUAGAGCCUUCGACUUUUAAUCGAAUGGUCCUGGGUUCGAGCCCCAGCACUCUCA